AGCGAACGCUGGCGGCAGGCUUAACACAUGCAAGUCGAACGGGCAUAGCAAUAUGUCAGUGGCAGACGGGUGAGUAACGCGUGGGAACGUACCUUUUGGUUCGGAACAACACAGGGAAACUUGUGCUAAUACCGGAUAAGCCCUUACGGGGAAAGAUUUAUCGCCGAAAGAUCGGCCCGCGUCUGAUUAGCUAGUUGGUAGGGUAAUGGCCUACCAAGGCGACGAUCAGUAGCUGGUCUGAGAGGAUGAUCAGCCACAUUGGGACUGAGACACGGCCCAAACUCCUACGGGAGGCAGCAGUGGGGAAUAUUGGACAAUGGGCGAAAGCCUGAUCCAGCCAUGCCGCGUGAGUGAUGAAGGCCCUAGGGUUGUAAAGCUCUUUUGUGCGGGAAGAUAAUGACGGUACCGCAAGAAUAAGCCCCGGCUAACUUCGU
rnacentral:rRNA from 1 species